rnacentral:rRNA from 1 species
GACGAACGCUGGCGGCGUGCUUAGCACAUGCAAGUCGAACGGAAAGGCCCUGCUUUUGUGGGGUGCUCGAGUGGCGAACGGGUGAGUAACACGUGAGUAACCUGCCCUUGACUUUGGGAUAACUUCAGGAAACUGGGGCUAAUACCGGAUAGGAGCUCCUGCUGCAUGGUGGGGGUUGGAAAGUUUCGGCGGUUGGGGAUGGACUCGCGGCUUAUCAGCUUGUUGGUGGGGUAGUGGCUUACCAAGGCUUUGACGGGUAGCCGGCCUGAGAGGGUGACCGGCCACAUUGGGACUGAGAUACGGACCAGAAUCCUACGGGAGGCAGCAGUGGGGAAUAUGGCACAAUGGGCGGAAGCCUGAUGCAGCAACGCCGCGUGCGGGAUGACGGCCUUCGGGUUGUAAACAGAUUUCGCCUGUGACGAAGCGUGAGUGACGGUAAUGGGUAAAGAAGCACCGGCUAACUACGUG